UCUAGGCUAAUAUGACCACGAGACCGAUAGCGAACAAGUACCGUGAGGGAAAGUUGAAAAGCACUUUGAAGAGAGAGUUCAAGAGUACGUGAAACCGUUUAGGGGUAAACCUGAGAAACCCGAAAGGUCGAAGGAAGAAAUUCAUUCGCGUUUCGUCGCAGGCGACGAGCGGGAUCGUGUGACGGGAAGCGNUCGCGCGUUUCCCGCGCCUUCCGUUCUUCGAACCGGCGGCGAACGCGUGCACUUUUCUUCUGGUAGGACGUCGCGAUCCGUUGGGUGUCGGUCUACGGCUCGCGGUGGAGCCCGUUCGUCGUAUUUCCACGUACGUACGGACGGACCCGCGUGUCCCGGCCGACUCGCUCGACGGUAUACGAAAGGUUUAAGGCCGCUCUCUA
rnacentral:rRNA from 1 species